GCGAACUGGUGACAAAAUAUUACCUCCCCUGUAAACAGUGCGCUCUUCUGACUAGAGGCGAUCGGUAAAGAUAAACGGAUGAUGCUGUAAUUGUUUUGCUUGUUUGAAAUGAGCUAGCACAGACGACCAAAGACGUAUCAACGGAAUGUGAAUAUGAUAAUGAAUCAGCGAUGCUCUGUAUGGAAGGAAGACUGCCAUAGAAUCCAACAGUACCGGAGAGGGUCUUUUAAUUGACUGUUUAACAUCAAGAUUAAUGUACGAUUCGUGUACUUCAUCCAGUGCAAGUUGUUGCCAGUUUUUCCCUGUAACUGUGGUAGAAAAACCAUCAGCUUUCAGCUGGGUAAUGACAGUUUCUGGCAUUGAAAGGAUAUCAAACAAAUGUUUUGGAAUGAUUCUCAAGUACAUAUGACGAUCAUAUGCAUGAAAAAGUGGAUCUAGUCUCUUUAAUGCAGCAAUUCGUAAUUCCCAAUUUGAACUCCGAAAAGAUAACAAAAAAAUGUAUGAGAAACAGUGAAUAAAAUCAUGCCAAAACUUAAA